AUGAGCUCGGAUAAAUCCAUAUUUUUUGACAUUUUUGCAAGAUUUCAAACAGAAUGUAAUUACAGUCCUUUUUGGUGCCCUUUUGAUAUGUAUGCUUUCAACAUCACAGGGAAGCAGAAGUCAAUCUCAGCGGUAGUGUGAGACUGACACCUAGCCUUGACUGAUCACCAGUUAAUCGCAAAUCGUAAAUCGUAUGCAUGCUUAAAUCACGUGCAAAACAUUUUAAAUUAGAAGCAUAAACUUACAAUAACAUUUAUUAAUAGCACAGCAGUAAAAGAGGUGUAAGAGUUUGUUGAAUUUGUUCUUUGAUUGGUUCUUCAACCAAUUGUGGUGUACUGUAAGAAGAUUUCUUAAAUUAUAUGAAAUGAUCACAAUAUAAUCUUUUUCUUUUAUCUAUCCAUUUACUAAUAUGCGUCCUCAUUAGGGUUGCAGGUGAGCUGGCGUCUAAACUAGCUGACUUUGGCGAGAGGCGAAGUAAGCCCUGGACUGGUCACCAGGGGCCUCAUGUACAAAAGCCGAUUUAGGUUCCCGAGGGCAGUCCUCCUGGAACUGUGUGCAGACCUGCGGCGGGCUUUGGAGCGUGACACCGCAAGAAGCAAUGCGCUGCCUGUGCCGACACAGGUGCUUACCACGCUGGGGUACCUAGCAACUGGGGCAUUCCAGAAGGAGCUGGCAGAUUGAUCAGGACUGUGCCAGUCGACACUGAGCCGAGCCGUGCCAGCCGUGUGGGACGGAAUUAUCCACUUGUCCGCCAGGCGACAGUGGCUACCCACUUAAGAGCUGGCUGAUGACCCCUCUCACCAACCCUCAGACUGAGCAAGAGCGGAGGUACAAUGACCUCCAUUCCCGCACUCGGUCAGUUGUUGAGAGGACAAUCGGCAUGCUGAAGGGGCUGCAUGGACAGGACUGGGGGUAUGCUGCUGUACAAUCCCGGGAACGUGUGCCGCUUUAUAAUGGCGUGCGGCGUCCUCCACAAUGUGGCACACCGACACGCCAGAGCAGCAUAUCCCCCCACCAGACGAGCCAGAAGAUGGACCUUUCAUGACAAAUCCAACCAAAGAGGCCAUUCAGGCCCGGCAGCAUUUGAUGUCAACAAUGUA